UUGAGCGCAGCGAAACAACGGAGCCGCUCGCGGCGACGGCCCGAAGGGCGAGCGAAGCGAGUCAUCCUGCACGACCCACCA
rnacentral:sRNA from 2 species